GAUUUAAGAAUAAAUCACCUAUAUACUUGCAAUAUAUUAUUCACAUUAAAAUAUUAAAUCG
rnacentral:tRNA from 1 species